rnacentral:tRNA from 1 species
CUAUAGAGUUGGCUUGAAACUAACUGUUGGAGGUUCGAUUCCUUCCCUUCUCG